AGAGUUUGAUCAUGGCUCAGAUUGAACGCUGGCGGCAGGCUUAACACAUGCAAGUCGAGCGGGGGAGGUUGCUUCGGUAACUGACCUAGCGGCGGACGGGUGAGUAAUACUUAGGAAUCUGCCUAUUAAUGGGGGACAACAUCUCGAAAGGGAUGCUAAUACCGCAUACGCCCUACGGGGGAAAGCAGGGGAUCACUUGUGACCUUGCGUUAAUAGAUGAGCCUAAGUCGGAUUAGCUAGUUGGUGGGGUAAAGGCCUACCAAGGCGACGAUCUGUAGCGGGUCUGAGAGGAUGAUCCGCCACACUGGGACUGAGACACGGCCCAGACUCCUACGGGAGGCAGCAGUGGGGAAUAUUGGACAAUGGGGGGAACCCUGAUCCAGCCAUGCCGCGUGUGUGAAGAAGGCCUUAUGGUUGUAAAGCACUUUAAGCGAGGAGGAGGCUCUUUUGGUUAAUACCCAAGAUGAGUGGACGUUACUCGCAGAAUAAGCACCGGCUAACUCUGUGCCAGCAGCCGCGGUAAUAC
rnacentral:rRNA from 1 species